UCCUCUGGAAAAGAGUAAGAGGUAGGACCUGCCCAAUUGCAAAUGGUAAAUGGCCGCAGUAUUCUGACUGUGCGAAGGUAGCAUAAUCACUUGUCCUUUAAUUGAGGUCUGGAAUGAAUGGUCUGACAAAGGCUAAUCUGUCUUCGGAAAGAGAGGAUGAAUAUUAAGUUCUUUGUAAAAACGCAUAGAUAAGAGAGUGGGACGAAAAGACCCUAUAGAUCUUCACACUCUUUGAUGGUUUAGAUCAGAAUUGAGUGUUUCCUUGGGAUGAGGUUAGAAAUGGGAAACUUUGAGUAAUGUGGGACAAUCCAGUAAUUAAUAGUUGAUCCUACAAAGGAUAUGCCGGGAAAGAUACCUUAGGGAUAACAGGACAAUAAUCUCUUCAUAGUUCUUAUUUGAAGGGAUGAUUGUCACCUCGAUGUUGAAUUAAGUCCCCUCCCUAGCUGCAGAAGGUUUGGGGGGGCAGUCUGUUCGACUGAUAAAAAC
rnacentral:rRNA from 1 species